rnacentral:rRNA from 1 species
GAUGAACGCUAGCGGCAGGCUUAAUACAUGCAAGUCGAACGGGAAUUGGGUAGCAAUACCUGAUGAUAGUGGCGCACGGGUGCGUAACGCGUAUGCAACCUACCUUUAACAGGGGGAUAGCCCGGAGAAAUUCGGAUUAAUACCCCAUAGUAUUAUGGAGAGGCAUCUUUUCAUGAUUAAAGUUCCGGCGGUUAAAGAUGGGCAUGCGUGCCAUUAGCUAGUUGGUGAGGUAACGGCUCACCAAGGCGACGAUGGUUAGGGGUCCUGAGAGGGUUAUCCCCCACACUGGUACUGAGACACGGACCAGACUCCUACGGGAGGCAGCAGUAAGGAAUAUUGGUCAAUGGGCGAAGCCUGAACCAGCCAUGCCGCGUGCAGGAAGACGGCCUUAUGGGUUGUAAACUGCUUUUGUCAGGGAAUAAACCCUCGUUUGCGAACGAGGCUGAAGGUACCUGAAGAAUAAGCAUCGGCUAACUCCGUG